CUACGGGUCGCUGCAGUGGGGAAUAUUGGGCAAUGGGCGCAAGCCUGACCCAGCAACGCCGCGUGAGGGAAGAAGGUUUUCGGAUUGUAAACCUCUGUCCUUGGGGACAAAGAAGUGACGGUACCCAAGGAGGAAGCUCCGGCUAACUACGUGCCAGCAGCCGCGGUAAUACGUAGGGAGCGAGCGUUGUCCGGAAUUACUGGGCGUAAAGGGUGCGUAGGCGGCAUAUUAAGUCAGGUGUGAAAUACCCGGGCUCAACCCGGGGGGUGCAUUUGAAACCGAUACGCUUGAGUGUGAGAGAGGAAAGUGGAAUUCCUAGUGUAGCGGUGAAAUGCGUAGAUAUUAGGAGGAACACCAGUGGCGAAGGCGACUUUCUGGCUCAUAACUGACGCUGAGGCACGAAAGCGUGGGGAGCAAACAGGAUUAGAUACCCUAGUAGUC
rnacentral:rRNA from 1 species